rnacentral:rRNA from 1 species
UGGGGAAUUUUGGACAAUGGGCGAAAGCCUGAUCCAGCAAUGCCGCGUGUGUGAAGAAGGCCUUCGGGUUGUAAAGCACUUUUGUCCGGAAAGAAAUCCUUGGCUCUAAUACAGUCGGGGGAUGACGGUACCGGAAGAAUAAGCACCGGCUAACUACGUGCCAGCAGCCGCGGUAAUACGUAGGGUGCAAGCGUUAAUCGGAAUUACUGGGCGUAAAGCGUGCGCAGGCGGUUUGCUAAGACCGAUGUGAAAUCCCCGGGCUCAACCUGGGAACUGCAUUGGUGACUGGCAGGCUAGAGUAUGGCAGAGGGGGGUAGAAUUCCACGUGUAGCAGUGAAAUGCGUAGAGAUGUGGAGGAAUACCGAUGGCGAAGGCAGCCCCCUGGGCCAAUACUGACGCUCAUGCACGAAAGCGUGGGGAGCAAACAGGGUUAGAUACCCCUGGUAGUCCACGCCCUAAACGAUGUCAACUAGUUGUUGGGGAUUCAUUUCCUUAGUAACGUAGCUAACGCGUGAAGUUGACCGCCUGGGGAGUACGGUCGCAAGAUUAAAACUCAAAUGAAUUGACGGGGUCAUAGCUGUUUCCU